UCCCUGGUGGUCCAGUGGCUAGGACUCCAUGCUCCCAAUCCAGGGGGCUCGGGUUCAAUUCCUGGUCAGGGAA
rnacentral:tRNA from 1 species